AGGUUUGCAACAGAGGCAUGAAGAAUUCCUCUUCGCAACAAUACAUUCCUUUGUAGAACUGGGGUAUUCUGUCCGUUGGAAGUUACUGAAUUGUCGGGACUAUGGAGUGCCUCAGAGCCGUCAGCGGUUGGUUAUUUUGGCGUCGGGACCCGGUGAACCCCUACCGCCCUUCCCAAAGCCAACGCACGCCUCUCCCAACACCCAAAUAAACACCACCAUCACCACUGCUCUCCUUCCCCCUUUCCGCACCAUCCACGACGCAAUCUCCAAAAUCCCCCCUCAUCACCCAGACCACGACAUCCAAUAUGCUCGCAGCCGUCCACUGAACCGGCCAACCUAUGACCCACACACCCAAGCGAGGACGAUAACCUGCAACGGGGGCGAGAAUUACCACCCAAGCGGCACACGCGGCUUCACUUACCGCGAGCUUGCAUGCCUGCAGACGUUCCCGCUCGAGCAUCGGUUUUGUGGGAAGAGUGUCAAAAAGC
rnacentral:sRNA from 1 species